UACGAAGGGUGCAAGCAUUAAUCGGAAUUACUGGGCGUAAAGCGCGCGUAGGUGGUUCAGUAAGUUGGAAGUGAAAUCCCCGGGCUCAACCUGGGAACUGCUUUCAAAACUGCUGAGCUAGAGUACGGUAGAGGGUGGUGGAAUUUCCUGUGUAGCGGUGAAAUGCGUAGAUAUAGGAAGGAACACCAGUGGCGAAGGCGACCACCUGGACUGAUACUGACACUGAGGUGCGAAAGCGUGGGGAGCAAACAGG
rnacentral:rRNA from 1 species